rnacentral:rRNA from 1 species
GACGAAGGUGGCGAGCGUUGUCCGGAAUCAUUGGGCGUAAAGCGCGUGUAGGCGGCUCGAUAAGUCUGCUGUGAAAGUCCAGGGCUCAACCCUGGAAUGCCGGUGGAAACUGUCGAGCUAGAGUCCGGAAGAGGCGAGUGGAAUUCCUGGUGUAGCGGUGAAAUGCGCAGAUAUCAGGAGGAACACCAAUGGCGAAGGCAGCUCGCUGGGACGGUACUGACGCUGAGACGCGAAAGCGUGGGGAGCAAACAGG